rnacentral:rRNA from 1 species
AAUUUGGUGCUUGCACCAGAUGAAACUAGAUACAAGCGAGCGGCGGACGGGUGAGUAACACGUGGGUAACCUGCCCAAGAGACUGGGAUAACACCUGGAAACAGAUGCUAAUACCGGAUAACAACACUAGACGCAUGUCUAGAGUUUAAAAGAUGGCUCUGCUAUCACUCUUGGAUGGACCUGCGGUGCAUUAGCUAGUUGGUAAGGUAACGGCUUACCAAGGCAAUGAUGCAUAGCCGAGUUGAGAGACUGAUCGGCCACAUUGGGACUGAGACACGGCCCAAACUCCUACGGGAGGCAGCAGUAGGGAAUCUUCCACAAUGGACGCAAGUCUGAUGGAGCAACGCCGCGUGAGUGAAGAAGGGUUUCGGCUCGUAAAGCUCUGUUGGUAGUGAAGAAAGAUAGAGGUAGUAACUGGCCUUUAUUUGACGGUAAUUACUUAGAAAGUCACGGCUAACUACGUGCCAGCAGCCGCGGUAAUACGUAGGUGGCAAGCGUUGUCCGGAUUUAUUGGGCGUAAAGCGAGUGCAGGCGGUUCAAUAAGUCUGAUGUGAAAGCCUUCGGCUCAACCGGAGAAUUGCAUCAGAAACUGUUGAACUUGAGUGUAGAAGAGGAGAGUGGAACUCCAUGUGUAGCGGUGGAAUGCGUAGAUAUAUGGAAGAAC